GCCUGUCUCAGAUGGGCCUGAACCCCAAAAGCCCAGGGACCUAUUUUCCCCCCUCCAGCACAGCAGCUGGUCCUGAUGGAAGCAGGGCACCGGAUUGUCCACACUGAUGGGGAAGCGUCACAGAACCCGUGUUUUCCGGGCCCUUCAGCGCACACAACAGCCUCUCCCGCUCCGUUGGAUGCCAGAACCUAGUCAAUUCUUUCUGGUGUGUUUUCAAUUUAGAGCCUCCCCCUUCUUCCUGGCCACGGCCCCUCACAGAUCCUCGGGCUGUGUACCUCUCCUGUUACUGCUGACGUCUGCAGCUGCUCCUCCGCGGGUGCGGGUUUCCAGGUCCCCAGGCCUGCUGAGGCGUAGUUCCAACUGAGGUCGAGUGUGCCGACAGUGCCACCUGCUGUCCUUACUCAAGCUGUGCAGGCUUCCAUUGUCCCAGAUCCCACACAGCUUUGGCCAGAGGAUUCAGCGAGGUCUCUGUACUGUCCGGUAACCCCGUGGCUAGCUCACUUUUCUUCCAGACCUCUGCCGGUCGUGCUUACAUUCUGGAUUUCUCUCUGGCCACGGGUCUUUUGGGAUGCAGCCUGCUGCGCAGAGCACCUCCGGCUCGCUCUCCUUCAGGUCUCUGUCCCUUUGUCAAUCUUCAGGGUGAGGCUCCAGCAUCACUCCCGAGGGCGCUGUCAGCUGUCUUUGGCUCUUUGGAUGAAGUGCAAUCCUGGAGGCUCUGGAAGAAGGACCAAAAGCAUUUUCAAGGGACAAAUGAUGCCUUCCUAUUGGCGGCUCGCUCUGUGACCUUUCUGAGAGAGAUGCAAACUUGCUCAGCAUGAUGGUUGACCUUUUAGUGAGAGUUCUCUAGUUUUCUUUUGUCUUAAUCCGUUGCUGUAGAUGGUCCAGAGAGGAAUCCUCUCCUUUAUUCUCUCUUUGCCAAGGACAGCUCCCAGCUUCUUUGUAUCCAGGAAAAUGUCGUUCUUCUAGUCACAGAAGGCCUGACCCCAGCAUCCUUCAGUAGCUCAGGGAACAGAAACUAGAUUGGAAUCCAGGCUGUUACCUCAGUGUGGGGUCACCUAAAUGCCCUGUGCCUUGAGUCCUCAUUUGCCAGAUUAGACAGCGGCCACUUCCUUUCAAGGUCGUGUGGAGGACAGUUGGAAGGGAAGCAUCAUUCCCUCUUUUGGCCCUGGAUCACCGAGCAUCUGAGGAUCUGGCUAGCUGACGGUCAGCCAGCUGUGCACUCUAGCAUCCAAGAGACAAGAGACACGGAAAGGGAAACUGAAAUCGGACAGGAGGAAGUGGCUAUGCCCUGAGCGUGAGCCCCACCCUGGGCUGCAAGUCCAGCCUCACCCCGGUCUCCAGAUUCCAGUAGUGCUGGGGACCUGCUCCGAGCUCUAGCAUGAUAUAUAAGCUACAUAUUUUCCUUUGGUACUGGCACCACCUCCCUGUGACCUUAGUUCUUUCUCUAUUCUAGUCUCAUCUCCUACAGACUCCAGGCCCCACCUCAGCCAGCUCUAAGUCAGGACACAAAGUGUAACAGUUACUCCGGAAUAUGGCCUGAUGGUUGUUUCGUUUAAUCUGGAUUUUCUUUUAUCCUGAAACCUCUAAUACAACAUUGUCAUAGGGAGGGGGCUGGAGAGAUGACUCAGCAGUUCAAAGCACUGGCUAGUCUUCCAGAGGACCCGGGUUCAAUUCCCAGUCUCCAUGCAGCAGCCCACACCUGCCCACAGCUCCAGUUCCGAGGGAAUCUGACACCCACACCCACACGUACACGCAGGCAAAACACCAGUGCACAUAAAAAUAAAUAAAAUUUAAAAAUUAAAAAAAGAAAGAUUGCCAUCGGGGACCGCCCAGCGCAGUUAAGUUUUGAGACAUCUCUGGGGUGAGUUUUCACACAGACAUCUGUGUAGACCCAGUGCCUUUCCUUCUCUGUUCUCUUGCUUUUCAAGGAUUCAGUGGUUCAGUGACUCGGGAUCAGCUGUGAUCUGAAAAUUAUUAAAUGAAAAAUCCCAGAAAUGACAUGACUCUGAAGGAUUCCUUAAAAUUUAUUUAUUUUUAUUUAUUUAUUUAUUUUUUUAAAAGAUUUAUUUAUUAUUAUAUGUAAGUACACUGUAGCUGUCUUCAGACACACCAGAAGGGGGCAUCAGAGAUCAUUACGGGUGGUUGUGAGUCACCAUGUGGUUGCUGGGAUUUGAACUCAGGACCUUUGGAAGAGCAGUCGGUGCUCUUAACUGCUGAGCCAUCUCUCCAGCCCCUAAAAUUUAUUUUUUUAAAUACUUAUUUAUAUAUUAUGUGAGUGGGAGUUUUGUCUGCGUGUGUGCAUUUGUACAUUAGGUGCAUGCCUGGUGCCCACAGAGGCCGGAAGAAGGCACCCGAUCCCAUGGAACUGAAGUUACAGGCGGUUGUGAGCUACCGUGUGGAUGCUGGAAACUGAACCCAAAUCCUUUGUAUGAACGACUAGUGAUGGGUUUUGUUUCUUGUUUUUGGUUUUUCGAGACAGGGUUUCUCUGUGUAGCCCUGGCUGUCCUGGAACUCACUCUGUAGCCCAGACUGGCCUCGAGCUCAGAAAUCCACCUGCCUCUGCCUCCCAAGUGCUGGGAUUAAAGGCGUGUGCCACCACUGCCCGGCUUUAAUUUUUUUUUUAAAGAUUUAUUUUUAUUUUAUGUAUGUGAGUACACUGUAGCUUUCUUCAGACACACCAGAAGAGGGCAUCAGAUCCCAUUGCAGUUGGUUGUGAGCCACCAUGUGGUUGCUGGGAUUUGAACUCAGGACUUCUGGAAGAGCAGACAGUGCUCUUAACCGCUGAGCCAUCUCUCCAGUUCCCUCGGCAUCUAUUUUUCAAUGAUAUUUUGAUUUUUCUCCUGGUAGAAACAGAGCGGCAUCACCUUUGACACAGUUUCCAGUUCUGUGUUUCACAGGAAACAUGCUUGCUUGUGUUACUCUGUGAACCAAAUAAAGUGUAGACUUGUGGGUCCUGCUAUCUCCUUCAGCCUAAGCUUCUCUCUCUCUCUCUUUCUCUCUCUCCCUCUCCCCCCCUCUCUGUCUCUCCCUCUCCCUCUCCCUCUCCCUCUCCCUUUCUCUCUCCCUCUCCCCCACCCCCAUAUCCACCAGGCAUGCAGGGUACCCCCUGGGACCUGCAGACACCACAGACCUUUCUAUUUCAGCUGUGCCACUGAAGCUGUGCUGCCCUGUAACCCCUGACAGCAAGGCCGCGUCAAAGGGACCCAUUGAGGGGGAUCUCUGCAG
rnacentral:lncRNA from 1 species